UACGAAGGGGGCUAGCGUUGCUCGGAAUCACUGGGCGUAAAGGGUGCGUAGGCGGGUUUUUAAGUCAGAGGUGAAAUCCUGGAGCUCAACUCCAGAACUGCCUUUGAUACUGAAAGUCUUGAGUAUGGGGAGAGGUGAGUGGAACUGCGAGUGUAGAGGUGAAAUUCGUAGAUAUUCGCAAGAACACCAGUGGCGAAGGCGGCUCACUGGCCCAUUACUGACGCUGAGGCACGAAAGCGUGGGGAGCAAACAGG
rnacentral:rRNA from 1 species